UAAUAUUACUGUAUCUACUUAUUUGCUCUAUCCUUACAAUAUUCAUAUAAUAGUUUCAAAAUUAUAACACUAGCAUUACUAAUAACCAAUAAGAGUACUACAUAAAGUUUUAGGUGCCUUUGGAAGCCUUUUGUUCUUAGACUAUAUCCUACUAAAAGAUAGUCAAGAGUCCUAAUCAUCAAAAUUUGCUUGAAUCAAUUCUUUUCUCUGUGUAGUUAUUUUAUCAAUACAAAAUAUAGCAUCAUUUGUUUUUUAUUGUAUUCCAAUUAUAGAGUUUACUUAUUUCCAUCCCAUUUAAUUUAAUUUAAUUUCCAAAUAUAUAAGACAAUCAUAUGCUUCUACCCCCAUUUCUUCCAGCCCUACCUCCCCCUUGUAGGUUUUAUGAUUCUCCCUGUUCUUUUUGCAAAGACACACACACACAACACACACACACACACACACACACACACACACACACACACGUUUUCCUUUCUUUCUGGGCAAAGGAUAUUCUACUAUACAACUUCUUUGUAUCUUGCUUCUUUUAAUCAACAGUGUAUCCUAAAAGUUACUCCAAAUCCAUUCAUAGAGGUGCUCCUCAUUCUUUUUUCAUGUAUCACCAGAUAUUUCCAAAACAUAUUUACACAUAACAAGACUUCAGGAAACAAGAACCAGUAAGUACCUAACACUAUAAAUAGGAGAUUUUUAAGUUGGAAAUAGACUCAAGGAUGAAGGGGGCCAAGUCCUCCGGCUGUGUAAUUGCAUGAGCUGGGGCUCAGAAGGGUGACAUGACCCAGCCAGUGCAGUGGAUGCUGAAUUGUGCUGCCCAGGUCCCCCCCUGGGCACUAAAGGACUAAUCCCAGCUGCCACCUAUGCUGCUGGCACUCCCUGUGGUCACUGGUGCUGGGAGGAGCACCCUCUGCAAAGAUCCCGCCCCUCCCCCAGCCUGCAUCCAAAGCCAGCUGCUAUGGGGGCGUGUAAAGUCCAGUCACCUUGUCCCAAGUCACCUUGUCUCUCAAGGGCCACCCCAGCUCCAGAACCCCCCCUCCGCCCCCCUGGGGUUGGCUGAGCCCUGUGGUGACAGUGUCACAGCCCAAUAGAGCCUCCUUUCCCCCAUCCCUCUCCAUACUAUAACAAGGGGUGCAAAUGGAUAAAUAACCUUGACGAUUGGCCCAGGGAUGGACACAUGACCCAAUUCAAGCCAAUUUAGUCACUCCUCCUGUGACUCAACAUUAGAACAAAUGGGAAAAGGUCUUUUCCUCUCUGGUAGCAAAGCUCUGAGGACAAGAGCCUGGACACUGCUGGUAGCCACAUCCCCUGUGGAGUAGAGAAAGUUUUUAGGAAAAAGUAAAGCCAGCACAUAGUGAUCAAGAAAGAGAUCUGACGGGGUCUGAACUCCUACGCAUCAUGGUCUCUGAGUCCAGCUCCACCCUUGCCUCUUCCACAGUAUGAACUGAAAAAUAAUCACCCCUGGAGCAAGCUAAGUUACCUCCCCAAAAGAUGGAGACGAUGGUAAGUGGCAAUGGUUGUGACGCAAAAGGAACAUAGAAUCAGAAAAUAACACAUUACAACAAUAAGUCAAAAACUGCACAAACAGGCAAGGAGGGGGUAUCAGAUUAAGACGGUGGACAAUUUCUACUAUGUUCCACAGUUCAUUUGUGAGUUGUUAAAAAUGCAUCCUGUGGCUGGAGAACACUUCCUCCUCCCCACCUGACCCUCUGCCCUUCACCCACCAGCAACACCUGCGAUUCCAGAAAAGGCCAUGGUUUCUCCUCCGGAAGGGAAUGUGCUGGUUUCCCUUAGCUAAGCUUCCAACCCUACGAAUCUCUGCAAAUACAAUGUGGAGCAUGGGGGCAGGGUAGACUUUAUUUGUUAAAUACUGAUCUAGAAGGCUGUGAAAAGCUAGACGUUUCUAUGAUCUAUGUCACACAGAAUAGUGGCAUUUGAGUUAGCAGAAUGGCCUUAAAUUUGCUGUCUCCGUUAUUUGUCAGUUUCAUCAAACAGUCACCGCAUCUCCAAUUGCCCGCCUCAAGACUGGGAAGUGGAAGUUUGUAUUUUACAAACUACUCUUGACACUGCUUUCUCUUUCUUUUUUCUAGAAGGGGGAGAAAGGUGUUUGCCUAGCACUAAUACCAGAGGAAGAAUGCCUCUGCUUCAGUGGGGUUAAUAUGUAAAAUCAUUCCUCAUUUCAGGUUCUAGAGUCUUGUGCUCAUGCGAUGGACUCUACAUGUGACUUGUGACAGCCAACCUUCUAACCUUGUCACUUACACACACACACACACACACACACACACACACACACACACACACACAGAGUCUUACAAAGGUGCUGUUCAAAAAAUUUCCCACCAAAUCUUCCUCAUACUCAGGCCUAUGCAGUUUUUACACAUGUCCAGGAAGAAGCCGUCCUGCCUGGGUUCUUCCUGAACAAAGAGGUGCAACUCCAGCUGCUGGGGUCUGCAGUAAGGCCAUUUCCCCAGCGACGAGACCUUCAAAAUCCUCCAGGAUUGGCAAUGAAAUGUUGACUCUAGUGACUGCCAGGGGAUCAUAAAGAAACAGAAAACACCACUUUAACGCCACGCACUAGAUAAUAAUGUUAACUUUCCAAGUUUAAAUUUUCUGAGCUUCCAUUUCUGCAUCCAUAACAUGCAGAAAAAAUAAUACCUACCUCACAUGGUGUUUUGCUCAGGGAAUGUUGGUUAAGUGAAUCACUGAGCUGAUUAACUCGCUGAACAGAUGAGUCAGAGCUCUUGGUUGCAAGCAAUAGAAACUCAAUAUGACUGAUGGAAGCAGAAAGAAAAUCUACAGGCAGGGUACCAGGGGGCUCAGAGAACUGGCCAGAAAGCAGAAAAGGCAGCCCCAGAAUGGGGGUGGAACCCAGGUAGGAAGCACAGCCAAGGUCUUGCCAUAGGAGCAGUCAGGAGGCAGCUGCCCCCACCCCAACACCCUAAAACUGCCCACAGCAUGCACCCCACUGCUGCUGCGCCCUCCACUCACCUAAUGCAACUCUCCUGCAAAAGAAAAUAGAAAUUGGUCACAUUCCAUUUUUCUGGGUCUCCUAGCUUUAGCACCUAAUGUUUGAAAAAUGUGUGACUGUAGCAAUGCGAAGAAAUCAGUGCAAUUUAGAAAUGGCCGUUUCCUCCACAACCUGGGGAACUCGUUUAUUAGUUUCAAGUUUAAUUUAUACUUACUUCUGCCAAGGACUUAGGGCCUUUUACAGGUUAAAACUCAGUCAAAAAAAAAAAAAAAAAAAAAAAAGAAAAGAUGCAUGGGUGGAUAGGUAGAUAGAAAACCCAGUUUUUUAAAAAAAAACAGCUGAAGGAAAAUAUAUCUCAGGCAUUUGACUGAAGCAGAUGUGUGCAUUUAGACAAUGAAUUUAACCUUAAGCUAUCUGGCACCCAAGACUUGGAGGAAAAUGUGAUGUAUUACAUAAUAUAUAAUUUUAAUUUUCUUUUUCACACCAGAAUUUUAUCUACAGAGACAAAAUGUUUUCUGGCAAUUAUCUCAUCCAAAAAAGUUUUCCAUUUGGGUUUGAUGUGAAAGGUGUUGCAUGAGAUAGUAGACAGCAUCAUCAGUUAUGGUUUCACAAACACAGAGAGGAUAAACCUCAUGUGAAAUAUUUUCUGAAGGCAAACUGCAUCUCAGAAAUGUUUCUGCCAGGCAUGCUGCAGACGGAGCCCAGGUGCUUUGGCUUCUGAACUGCAGUUCUCUCCCAGGUACGACCCGGAGAAUCUGGAUGCUCACCCAGCAGAUGCCGUAGCGGGCCUCCCCUCUCCAAUACCAGGAUGUGAGCGCGAGGUUUUGGCAAGGCUGGGCCUCCACGGAUGUGGGAACAAAUCUAACACGUUCCUGCAGCGCUGCAGGUCCUCCUAGUCAGGUGCAGUGAUGGGGUAGGCCUUCCAUUCCAGACGGGAGGGGGCAGACUGGCAUUUUGUUCUGGAAUGUUUAAAGCCCUACGUGUGCUCUUGGCCAGACAGCGGCACGGGCCUCAGCAGCAGGAGCAGUAUCUACUCGUGGAAGAAAUUCCGAGGCUGCUCAAUCCUCAGGACACAAAUGGAGCCUCCGUGACCUGGGAGGCAGCCUUCCAGCCAGCCCCCACUUUAGUAUGAAAUCAACAUGAAGAUAAAAAUAAAAUUAGGUCGGUCAGAUGAAGUGGUGGCAUGGAAGUGGGCUUUCGAGAAAGGGAGGCCACGUCACCCUGUCUACACUGGCUGCGCUCUGCAAGAAAAGAAACCGGAUGCCCAGCGCAGAGGGACGUGGUCUCACACUCCAGUCUCCACCGCCUGAGCUGCUUCCUUAGGACUCGGCUCAUCACCUGGGGCCUUGGGAAUGCGUCCCUGUCGCCCCUCUGGGGCCCCAGAGUGCCGCUCAGUUCAGGACAGUGAAAAGCUGUGCCUCUCCUUGAAGAAGCGUCAGCCAGGCAGGCAGAGAGAUGCUAACGAGGUGUAGGUGUAUACGCUGCCCCCCGUUUGCUUUUUUUUUUAUUUAUGAGCACAAGGCAGAGGCAUGGGUGUGUGUGUGCAGAGGGUAGAGAAAAAGGACGAGGGGGUUCUUCUCACCGUGGAAUCAGAUUGUUGCUAAGACUGGGCCUGAAAGGUAAUUAUUUUGCUCACAUCAGAGGACCUAGGUGGGUAGGAAGAGGUCGCCCUUCUUCUCCCAUCCCCCACCCCUACUCUUUCCUUUCCCUUUAACACUGGCUUGUGGCUUGUUCCUUCUGUGACAACACUCCUGGGCUGGAUCCCAUCCCCACCUCCUAGGGCCCCAGGCUGCUUUCAUCCAGCCUGGAGGAAGAGAGGGGCUGGGGACAUUGUGGGGAGGCAGGGCUUGAGAGAGGUCUUGGCAAAGCUGUGAACUAGGGGGUUGAGAUGGGAAUUAGAUUUCCUCCCCAUACUUCAGGGAAACUCAGCCCCUAGGACUGAAGUGCAGGAUGCAGCCUGGGGCCAGGAAGAAACACCUGGAAUCUUUGUCUUCAAUUUGCAUGUGAUAACAAUGCCUCCCCUCCCCCCAACCACCGCCAGGCUAACAUCUGGAGAGCAGAGCACUCUUACACGAGGCAGCACCUUAUUUGCCUCUUGUAUCAACCUGGUGACAUAUAAUUAUUAACUUAAUUUGACAGUCCAGGAAAGCUAGCCCUAGGGAAGUGAAAUGAUUUUCCCCUAAGAAGUAGCAAAAUGCACCAAGCAGGGGGGCGAGUCUUUGCUGCCACAGCCCAUGAACUUUAGCAAUUAUUUCAGAUGCUGGAGAAUUAACAAAAUAAGAAGAAAAGAAAAGAAAAGAAAAUGUAAGAAAAAAGAAGAGAUUUACCUGUGUAAAAGCAAUCCCAAUUAAAUCCCCUGAUGCGAACUCCUAAUCCUUGUGCCUAAUAACUGUGGAACUCAGUGUGAUAAUGGACUUGAUGAACCGUGCCUGAUUAAUAAAUUUCUUACAAGUUUUAUUUGAUUAUUAUAAUCUAAUAAAAUCUACACACUUAUGAUAUUUUCACAAA